GAGUUUUGUUUUGUUUUUGUUCAUUAUGUAUUUUGGAUGAUUAACAGACAUGAUCACAGAUCCAGCAGAAAAUAAAGUCAGAAGGACUGCUGGUUUAUUAUUCAGAGGGAUUGUGAUUAUUGUAGAGUUUGCAGUGUUUGCUGCUCCUACUGUGAUUCUUCUUCAGAUCAUCUGUGACAGAAGAGCUG